AGCAGCCGCGGUAAUUCCAGCUCCAAUAGCGUAUAUUAAAGUUGCUGCAGUUAAAAAGCUCGUAGUUGAAUUUCGGGACCAAUUUGUUGGUCGUGCCUCGGUACGCACUGGCUUAUUGGUUUCUCCCUUCUGAAGAACCAUGAUGUCAUUCAUUUGGUGUCGUGGGGAAUCAGGACUGUUACUUUGAAAAAAUUAGAGUGUUUAAAGCAGGCUAACGCUUGAAUACAUUAGCAUGGAAUAAUGAAAUAGGACGUUCGAUCCUAUUUUGUUGGUUUCUAGGAUUGACGUAAUGAUUAAUAGGGAUAGUUGGGGGCAUUAGUAUUCAAUUGUCAGAGGUGAAAUUCUUGGAUUUAUUGAAGACUAACUACUGCGAAAGCAUUUGCCAAGGAUGUUUUCAUUAAUCAAGAACGAAAGUUAGGGGAUCGAAGACGAUCAGAUACCGUCGUAGUCUUAACCAUAAACUAUGCCGACUAGGGAUCGGAUGAUGUUAAUUAUUUAAUGACUCAUUCGGCG
rnacentral:rRNA from 1 species